AUUGAACGCUGGCGGCAGGCUUAACACAUGCAAGUCGAGCGGAGAGAGGUAGCUUGCUACUGAUCUUAGCGGCGGACGGGUGAGUAAUGCUUAGGAAUCUGCCUAUUAGUGGGGGACAACAUUUCGAAAGGAAUGCUAAUACCGCAUACGUCCUACGGGAGAAAGCAGGGGAUCUUCGGACCUUGCGCUAAUAGAUGAGCCUAAGUCGGAUUAGCUAGUUGGUGGGGUAAAGGCCUACCAAGGCGACGAUCUGUAGCGGGUCUGAGAGGAUGGUCCGCCACACUGGGACUGAGACACCGCCCAGACUCCUACGGGAGGCAGCAGUGGGGAAUAUUGGACAAUGGGCGGAAGCCUGAUCCAGCCAUGCCGCGUGUGUGAAGAAGGCCUUAUGGUUGUAAAGCACUUUAAGCGAGGAGGAGGCUACUUUAGUUAAUACCUAGAGAUAGUGGACGUUACUCGCAGAAUAAGCACCGGCUAACUCUGUGCCAGCCGCCGCGGUAAAAC
rnacentral:rRNA from 1 species